CUUGUAGGCGGUUUGUCGCGUCUGCUGUGAAAUUUCGGGGCUUAACCCCGAACUUGCAGUGGGUACGGGCAGACUAGAGUGUGGUAGGGGAGACUGGAAUUCCUGGUGUAGCGGUGAAAUGCGCAGAUAUCAGGAGGAACACCGAUGGCGAAGGCAGGUCUCUGGGCCAUAACUGACGCUGAGAAGCGAAAGCAUGGGGAGCGAACA
rnacentral:rRNA from 1 species